UACGAGGGGGGCAAGCGUUGUUCGGAAUUAUUGGGCGUAAAGGGCGCGUAGGCGGUGCGGUAAGUCUGAUGUGAAAUCUCCGGGCUCAACUCGGAGUCUGCAUCAGAAACUGCCGUGCUCGAGUGUGGGAGAGGUGAGUGGAGUUCCCGGUGUAGCGGUGAAAUGCGUAGAUAUCGGGAGGAACACCUGUGGCGAAAGCGGCUCACUGGACCACAACUGACGCUGAGGCGCGAAAGCUAGGGGAGCAAACAGG
rnacentral:rRNA from 1 species